UACAGAGGGGGGCAAGCGUUAUUCGGAAUUAUUGGGCGUAAAGGGCGCGUAGGCGGCCUGGCAAGUGGAAGGUGAAAUCCCUCGGCUUAACCGAGGAACUGCCUCCCAAACUGCUUGGCUCGAGACCGGGAGAGGUGAGUGGAAUUCCCAGUGUAGCGGUGAAAUGCGUAGAUAUUGGGAGGAACACCAGUGGCGAAGGCGGCUCACUGGACCGGUACUGACGCUGAUGCGCGAAAGCGUGGGGAGCAAACGGG
rnacentral:rRNA from 1 species